AUAAAUAUAUAAAAGAGCAUUAGAUGGAUACCUUGAUAUUUAUUAUUAGGACGUUAUUUAUCGAAAAUUUAUAAUGAAUUUGUUAAUUGUGAUUUAUAAAAAUCCUUAGAAGAAAACUUUUUCUGAAUGAAUUUAAAAAUUUAGUGAAUUGAAACAUCUAAGUAACUAAAUUAUAAGAAAUCAAACGAAAUUCCGUUAGUAGUGGCGAGCGAACAUGGAUUAGGUUUUAAAAGAAAAAAAAUAAUAUGUAUAUAAUUUACAUAGAUGGUUUAUAUUCCAGUGUAUAAAAUUAGUUUUUUCUUUUUUGAGUAAAACGAAAUAGGUGUAAUUUUGUUUGAAUUUAAGGGAACCACCCUUUAAGCCUAAAAAAUAAUAAAUGAUCGAUAGCGAAUAAGUACUGUAAAGGAAAGGUGAAAUAGAAUUUACGAAAUUGAAAUAGAUAUUGAAAUCUAAUGCUUUUAUCAAUUGGAGCUUUUUUAAAAGUGACAAUGUACCUUUUGUAUAAUGGACCAGUAAGUUUAUUUAUAUAGCAAGUUUAAGUUGUGAAACGUAGACUUAGUGAAAGCGUAUUUGAAAUGAAUUAUUUGAGUUAUAUAAAUAAGACCCGAAACCGAGUGAUCUAAUUAUGAACAAGUUGAAAAAAUAUUAAUUUAUUUUUGAGGACUGAACUCGUACCUGUUGCAUAAGGUUGAGAUGAUUUGUGAUUAGGGGUGAAAGGCUAAUCAAACUCGGAGAUAGCUGGUUUUCUGUGAAAUCUAUUUACGUAAAGUGUUAAAAUUAUUAUUCUGGGGUAGAGAUAUCGAUAAAAGAGGGUUGCCUAUAAAGCUUUACCAAUUUUAAUGAAACUUCGAAUACAGAAUUAAUAUUUUAAUAAUCGGACUUACAAUGCUAAGGUUAUAAGUCAAGAGGGAAACAGCCCAGAUUGUUUAUUAAGGUCUUUAAAUUAUUUUUAAUUUCUCAUAAGAAAUGGGUUUUAAAAUAUAGAUAACUAAGAGUUAGGUUCGGAAGCAGCCAUUCUUUAAAGAAAGCGUAAAAGCUCAUUGGUUUAAUUUUAAAAUCCAAACGAUGUAUAGAGAUUGUAAGAAAUAUACCGAAAUAGCAAAUUUAAAUUUUAAUGUUUAAAUGGUAACAGAACGUUCUGUAUGCUUUAAGAUAAAUUGAAAAAUUUAUUAAUGUAUCAGAAGUGAUAAUACUGGUAUAAGUAAUAUAAAUAAUAUAAAAUAGGUAAUUAAAUAUUAUCGUCGAAAGUUUAAGGUUUUUAAUAUAUAGUUGUUAAACAAAAUUAAGUAAUACGGCCUCUAAGAAAAAAGUGAAAACUUUAUUUGAUGAGAUUUAUUUAAAAGGACUUUUUUUAUAAAUAAAAAUACUAUUUAUAAAAAAAUUCAAAAAACUUUUAAAAGAAACCGUACUAAAAACCAACACAGGUAAAUGGGUAGAGUAUACUAAGACGAUAAAGAGAAUCAUAGUGAAGGAACUCGGCAAAUUGACUUUGUAACUUCGGGAUAAAAAGUUUUUAUUAAUGUAUUUUUUAAUUAAUAAAAAUAAUAUGAAAGGGGGUAGCGACUGUUUAAUAAAAACACAGGACUUUGCUAAAUCGUAAGAUGAUGUAUAAGGUCUGACACCUGCCAAGAACUGUAUUGCAAAAGUUAAAAAGUAUUUUUUUUAGUAUAAACAACAGUAAUCGGCGGCCAUAACUCUGAUGGUCCUAAGGUAGCGAAAUUCCUUGUCAACUAAUUAUUGACGUGCAUGAAUGGUGUAACGACUUCCCCACUGUCUCCACUAUGAGCUUUAUGAAAUUGAAAUAUUCGUGAAGAUGCGAAUUAUAUAUGGUAAGACGGUAAGACCCCGUGCACCUUUACUACAAUCUUUUAUUGAUUAUUUUUAUAAAAUUGUGUAGAAUAAGUGGGAGUUUAAAUUUAUUUUUAAACAUUAGUGAAAUACCACUCGUUUUAUUAUUAAUAGCUAAUUUUGUUUUUAAAAAUAAAAGACAUAUAAAAGAAUGGUAGUUUAACUGGGGUGGUUUUCUCCUAAAAAGUAACGGAGAAAUAUAAAGGUAAAUUAAUAAUUAUUGUUGUGAUAAUUAUUUAUGUAUAAUGGCUUAAAUUUGCUUGACUGUAAGAUUGACAAAUCAAACAGAAACGAAAGUUGAUCAUAUUGACCCGGUAAUUCUUUGUGGAAAGGUUAUCGAUCAUUGGAUAAAAGGUACGCCGGGGGUAACAGGCUGAUAAUUCUCUAGAGUUCAUAUCGACGGAAUUGUUUGGCACCUCGAUGUCGGCUCAUCACAUCCUAGGGCUGAAGAAGGUUCUAAGGGUUUGGCUGUUCGCCAAUUAAAGUGGUACGUGAGCUGGGUUUAAAACGUCGUGAGACAGUUUUGUCCCUAUCUGCCAUAUAAAAAAGAAAAGAAGAAAAUAAUAAUUCUAGUACGAGAGGACCGAAUUAGAUUGAUCAAUGGUUUAUAAGUUAUUUAUUUUUUAUUUUAAUAAAUAAAAAAUAAGUAUUGUUUAGUAGCUAAAUCAAUAAAAGAUAAAUACUGAAUUAAUAUAAGUAUGAAGCUUUUUUUCUUAUUUUCUAAAAAAAAAGUAAGAGAUAAUUACUUAAAUAGGCUUUAUGUAUAUAUUUAUUGCUAAAAAGUACUAAUUUUUUGUAAAAUUUAUAAAAAAA
rnacentral:rRNA from 1 species